rnacentral:rRNA from 1 species
AAAUAAAGGAAGUGGAGGUGGGGGAAAAGGCUGGAGGUAACAAAAUUAGGUUGACCGUGACCCCAGGAGUAGUGGGAAUCAACAGCCUGCAAAACAGAAGACUAAUACCCGUAUAAUAGGAGAAAAGCGGCUUGGUCAUCAUAUUAAAGAGAUGGCUCUGCUAUCACAUGUGGUUGAACCCGCUGCGUAUUAGUUAGUUGUUGAGGUAUAGGCUCACCAAGGGCAGUUGAUACGUAGCGGACCUGAGAGGGUAAUCGGCCACAUUGGGACUGAGACACGGCCCAGACUCCUACGGGAGGCAGCAGUAGGGUAUCUUCCACAAUGGACGCAAGUCUGAUGGAGCCACGCCGCGUGAGUGAAGAAGGGUUUCGGCUCGUAAAGCUCUGUUGUUAAAGAAGUACGUGGGUAAGAGUAACUGUUUACCCAGUGACGGUAUUUAACCAGAAAGCCACGGCUAACUACGUGCCAGCAGCCGCGGUAAUACGUAGGUGGCAAGCGUUAUCCGGAUUUAUUGGGCGUAAAGCGAGCGCAGGCGGUCUUUUAAGUCUAAUGUGAAAGCCUUCGGCUCAACCCGCAAGAAGUGCAUUGGAAACUGGGAGACUUGAGUGCAGAAGAGGACAGUGGAACUCCAUGUGUAGCGGUGAAAUGUGUAGAUAUAUGGAAGAACACCAGUGGCGAAGGCGGCUGUCUGGUCUGCAACUGACGCUGAGGCUCGAAAGCAUGGGUAGCGAACAGGAUUAGAUACCCUGGUAGUCCAUGCCGUAAACGAUGAUUAAUAAGUGUUGGAGGGUUUCCGCCCUUCAGUGAUGCAGCUAACGCAUUAAGUAAUCCGCCUGGGGA